rnacentral:misc_RNA from 1 species
GAUGAAGAACGCAGCGAAAUGCGAUAAGUAAUGCGAAUUGCAGAAUUUCCGUGAGUCAUCGAAUCUUUGAACGCACAUUGCGCCCCUUGGUAUCCCGAGGGGCAUGCCUGUUCGAGCGUCAUUUCACCACUCAAGCCUGGCUUGGUGUUGGGCGACGUCCCCUUUGGGGACGCGCCUCGAAACGCUCGGCGGCAUGGCACCGGCUUUAAGCGUAGCAGAAUCUUUCGCUUUGGAAGUCGGGGCCCCGUCUGCCGGAAGACCUACUCGCAAGGUUGACCUCGGAUCAGGCAGGGAUACCCGCUGAACUUAAGCAUAUCAAUAAGCGGAGGA